CUUGAUCUUAAGCCAAUCAGCUGGUCUUGGCAUCAUAAUAGCAAUGUAUCCUUCCCUGUUAGCCUGAAUUAUUAAUAAAAAUUGUAAGAAAAUAAAUAAAACAGAAUAAACUUCAAGCGAAUAAAUACGGAAUUAUGAUGAAAAGAAAUUAACAAAAUAGUAUAUGUUCCGAGUAUCUCAAGGAAACAUUCAAGUAUUUGGCGUAGUAGAGGUAUAUUUACUUAUAAGCCAACCAUAUUACCAGGUCAUGAACACCACUUAAGCUGUUAAGUAUGUGUCCUGUGAUUUGCGGUAAUCCAAUAUUUCUAAUGCCUGCGAUAAUACAUUAAUAUUUCACUCAUACACCAUAACUUUGUUAACAAUAAAAUACUAGAAAAAGCCUACAUAUGGUGAAUAUGUUGUGUUGCAGUGGGAAAAAGUUGAAGUCGGACCCCUAUUAAGAGUUGUUAGUAGUUAGUCACAUGAGGUUGUUACAAGGCUAUUUGUAUAAAUAGGAGAAUUACACUAUAGAGAUCACUGUUGAACAUUUGUAAUGUUUAGUGAAUAGAGCGGUGACUCUAUUCCGAAAGGGAAACCCUUGGAGGAGAGAUUGUUUCCUAUUCUCUUCUAUCCUUUCUCAAUCUUUCAAUUGAAUUAUUCUUCGUUUUAUUCAAUUCUGUCCAGUUACUGAGAUUGAGGCUGUUGUAAUCGAAGUUGGAGAUGAACCAGUUACUGAGAUUGAGGCUGUUGUAAUCAAAGUUGGAGAUGCACCAGCAAAGGCUUACUGUUUCUGAAGAUGGCAGAAACAAAUAUUGGCUCAUCAUGCUCCCACCAACAGUGGGAUCCAGGAGAAGAAUUUAUUAUUUUUAUUUUCUGCACCCAAUGGAACAAGAAGACUGUUGUAGAUUCCAAACCUUGAGGACAAGGUUGUGUUUGAGGAGGGGUGUAUUGGUAGGACUUAGUAUAUAGAACAAUGACUAACUGGAGUAGUUAAGAGUUGUUUGUAGUUAGUUGGUUAGUUGAGGUUGUUAGAAGGCUAUUUGUAUAAAUAGGAUAAUACAAUGGUAGAUAUCUGGUUAGUUGAGGUUGUUAGAAGGCUAUUUGUAUAAAUAGGAUAAUACAAUGGUAGAUAUCUGGUUAGUUGAGGUUGUUACAAGGCUAUUUGUAUAAAUAGGAUAAUACAAUGGUAGAUAUCUGGUUAGUUGAGGUUGUUACAAGGCUAUUUGUAUAAAUAGGAUAAUACAAUGGUAGAUAUCUGGUUAGUUGAGGUUGUUACAAGGCUAUUUGUAUAAAUAGGAUAAUACAAUGGUAGAUAUCUGGUUAGUUGAGGUUGUUACAAGGCUAUUUGUAUAAAUAGGAUAAUACAAUGGUAGAUAUCUGGUUAGUUGAGGUUGUUACAAGGCUAUUUGUAUAAAUAGGAUAAUACAAUGGUAGAUAUCUGGUUAGUUGAGGUUGUUACAAGGCUAUUUGUAUAAAUAGGAUAAUACAAUGGUAGAUAUCUGGUUAGUUGAGGUUGUUACAAGGCUAUUUGUAUAAAUAGGAUAAUACAAUGGUAGAUAUCUGGUUAGUUGAGGUUGUUACAAGGCUAUUUGUAUAAAUAGGAUAAUACAAUGGUAGAUAUCUGGUUAGUUGAGGUUGUUACAAGGCUAUUUGUAU